rnacentral:lncRNA from 1 species
AUGGUUUGACCUCUGCGGUCGUUCCUUUUCCCAGACCGCCGUCAUGAAGUGAAGAGUGCUUUAGUUCUUUUUGAAAUUCGUGUGAAUUUUACCCAUAUGGGGAUAUAAUUGACUAAAUGUGGUGAUAGUAAAUCAACUUUUUGGGCGUAAUGCUGUAAUUUGUUGUUUUGUUGAAUUUACUGGCCUUUAUGGCGAUUUAAAACCUAAUAAUUUUUCACGUGCCCUCGAACAUCGGCAAAAUAGCGGUUCUGAUUGGCAUUGGCAGGGGACAAUUUAAUUAGCAAAGCUACAUAACAUGGAUUUUGAAUGGAUUUUUUUUGUACGGACCUGAUUUCUUCAUGCCACAUGGUGCUUUCGUUUUGGGGUUAUGUACUCUACUGGCUCUAAUCUAGAAGGAGAUUUUAAGCAACUGUGAGCUAACGUCUAACCUAGACCACUACCAGAGCUUGUGAAGUGGAAGAGGUGAAGCUUGGAAGCCUGCAGUUUUUCUUUGACUGGGAAUUGGAUUUCUGGGAGAGUCUCGAAUCUGAAGUAGUCUGCUGUGUGUGGAGCUAGGUGACACAACAUAACAUUUUUUUUUAUUCACUUAUUUUAUUUUUAUUAUCACAACUUUUAUCUUUUGAGUUGAGAUACAUACAUAAGCUUAUUUAAAAUUUUAUUGACAUUAUUUAAUCGAUGCUAUUUUAUUAUUGAAUAUUACUGAUAAGAGUACAUAUAUAUGUGACAAGUGACUCCUGUGAGGUAAGACGCAGCCGGCUUCGUAGUACUACGAGUAUAUACUUGGGUUAUAUUAUUUAUUUUCAGACUACUCCUAAGAUGUCAAAUUUUCUCAGAUUAGCUAGUAAAUAUUAGAGUAAACUAAUAAAAGGGUAAUUUUAAGUGGGGAAGCUUCAACAGUUAGGGUUGUUAUUUUUUUUUUUGCUUAGGUCAAUGUCCGUGGCGGGAUAUACCGGGCCAUGUAAGUUAUUAGUUUAAUUGAAUUGAAGCUUCAUUCCCCAAAGUUUGGGUGUAACCUAAUUUAUUUUAUUUUGACAACCACACUUUGAUUGUGUAUUUUUUUUUGUGUGAUGUUGUGGUUCCUUAUUACCAACUUAAAUAAUUAUUCCUCUUAACGAUAAAUAACAUAACAUAAUUCUCUGUGAUAAUCAAGACUUAAAUAAAUUGUUAUUUUCUGUUGUUAA